UUAUUGAGCCAUGGGCAAAGCCAUGUCUCAAGAGGAGGGAUGGUACAGAUAAUUGAAAGAGUGUUCACAGCAUAUGGCUUCACUAAUUAGAGAAAA